GACCCGUCUUUAGAUCCAAUA
rnacentral:siRNA from 1 species